rnacentral:lncRNA from 1 species
CCAGCUGGAAAGCAUCAACAAAAGGAACCAGGGUAGCCAGGCGAGAAAAUUCAAUGCUUUGAUAAAUCUGGGCCACCUGCUGCAAAAGGCGAAGAAUGGUAUUGUUUUGCAGGUGAGGAACAUACAGCUGCAGUUCAGGUUCCUUUUCAGCUUGGUCUUUCACCCAGUUCAGUACCUUGCUAACACGGCUACAUAACUUGAGUGGGUGAAAGUCAACUUCAAGCCAAUUGUAGAGUUCCUUUACUUCUGGAACAACAUACUGUACUACGUUGAACCUCACCAUAUCAUUAAUGAGACUACCACGUGUAGGAGGGGC